rnacentral:tRNA from 1 species
GGGCGAUUGGCUCAGUCAGUAGAGCAUGAGACUCUUGAUCUCAGGGUUGUAAGUUCAAGGCCCA